CUCGCCGGGACUCCCGCUCGAUAUCCGAGACUCGGACUCUACAACUCUACACUACAAAUCCGCAUAUACCGGGUGUCGCUCGGACCACAGUUCGCAGGUCUUCUCGUUCGAUGAUUCGCCAUAAAUCGGUUCGCAAUCCUGACGAAAAGUUAUCGAUGACUGAUCGGUCAUUUACUGGACUCUUCACUCCUAAUCGCUCCGAAUCCAAUAAGUGGGAUUAAUUGAUAAAGAGGUUAUCGAGAAAUUACUAUUGCCAUGAAGAUUAUUAAGCUGUGUCAUGAAUCAAACUCGCUUCUUGGAAUUUCGAAGGAACGCUAAUCCAAGCGGUGUAAUCCAUUCGCGUUGAACGUUUAUAGGUCGAAGAGGGUUGAACUAAGACUGAACUAGGAUUUCUCCUUUCGCGAAAGAGUUCUGUACACUCUCUAAACGGGUUAGCCCAAAGUCGUCAAUGAUUCCAUCGACAAAAAGUAUUUUUAUACAUCGAAACCUUUCGAACAAACAUUAUUUUCUAUAAAAAUCCGCAAAAUAGUAAUCAUUAAUACUAAAGGGAAUAGUGUUCAACCUUCAUUCGUAAAGUGAUAUACAACGUCGAAACACUGAACAAUAUCUUAAGAACUCACGAUUCGACUCUGUAAGCUGAAAAGUAAACAAAAUUCGAAAUUCUUUCAUGUGUUCGUUCGUCAUAUGUUUUAUAAUCGUCGUUAAUAAAAUUACUGGAAAAUUAAAUCGGACGUGAGAUUUUGCUAGAAGAAUAAUAAUCAAGCUGUCUUUCACCACGAAAUUACUAUGUAACGAUAGCCAUAUUGCGAGUCUUGCUUUAACAGGGUUGACACAUCUAAUUCACUUUCCCUAACAACGACAAUAGGCAGCCUAACGCAAUGCUUGUAAUCAACGUAACACACUCGUGGAAUGUAUGUAUGCGAAAUCAUAUAUGUAUACGAAAUUAUAUUCGUGACUCUUGACUUCUUUCACUACGCGUUGGAAUGAAAAAGAGAAAUAAAAUCGAAAAGAAAAUACAAUCUCUACACGCAGCCACGGCUUGUUCCAAGGCACGUGCAUUAUAACGUGCAAAGCUCUUUGACUGGUGUUCCCCUUAACAGUUGGUUCGUUACCUUUUGCGAAGGCGGUCGUUAUGGUUAUUAGCGAAUGACGAGCAACAGCGGAAUCAGAGAAAUUCGAGAUUCUGCCUCGUUCCACCUUGCCGUGGCUUCCGCUUUCGCAUUAAGACUGCCGGCGGCACAUCGGGAACGAUUAUAACUAAAGGGAGAAACGUAUCCAAUUUUCUAAUUCAACGGGGUAAGAGCCUAAACCUAAACGAUUGCUAUCAAGGCGGACAGCGAGAUACAGAAAUACAUUGACUCUAAUAUUAUAACAUCGAUUGAGGUCAGCUUAAGCCAGAAGCCCAGGACACGAUCGGUCAUCGUUGAUUACGUAACGCGGCGUCCUGGAAAAGCCGUGAGGGCUCGUGCGGCCGAUAACAAACGCUGACCCAAAUAUGUUCCCGCCAAACCAUCGUAAAUCGUGCCACCGCGAUCUAAGUUCCAGAUACGAACUCUACGGUCUCAGCCGUUUGGCUCCGUUUCGGGUUUUUCAACGACGACGUGUACAGGAGUUCUGUGUGCGACCCGCGUCAAGCACACGCCAAAGAAGGCCUGGACACGUGUGUAACCAAGAGGUAAAACGCGCAAGAAGUUUUGAAGGGAUGCCAAGGGUGAAUCGAAAUCCGCACAACGAGAUGCAACACGUAGAGUACACGGAUGCUUAGAAGGGCGAAUGGAACCAUUGAGGUUCGCUGAUCUGCUACGUUAUUCGCAAGCACAGUUUAACCCUCUUCGCGGUUUCGUGAGAUUAAAGCAUUAUGCAUAUAUUUCACUGUAUUGUACCAUGUCAAUAGAAAUGAAGAUACGAAUAAAUUAAAAUAUUUGUUAUUUACCGUUGGCCCUUUUCCAUACACUUUUUAUAAUUGGAGAUAAAUACCAUGAAUAUAAAUAUUCUCCCCCAAUUAGUACUGUUCAAAUAUACCUACAUGGUAUAA